GCCUGGAUGAAAAAGUGAGACCCAGUCUCAAAAAAAAAAAAAAAUCUGAGGAUAGUUACAGAUUUAUUUGUUCCUCCUCCAUUCCCGCCGCUUCAUUUGACUAGCCUUAA
rnacentral:sRNA from 1 species